UAGUAGACAGAAAUCGAAGAAAUCUAUGGCAGUACGACAUCAACUUUUUUGUUAAAACUAACAUGAUUACUUUGAAUUAUGAGCGAAAGUCAUUUACUUGAGAAUACUUCCAAAAGAACCAAAUUCAGAUUAUGCCUUAAAGGUAGGAAAAGUUGUGUACAUACCUGUUAGCAGGACUUCUUUCAAUAUCAGAUCCAUAACCGAUUAAAUAUGCAAGCCUGAUGAACUGCCACAUUCAUGGAUACACUUCAAUAUGUAGGUAACUGCUAGCAAAUUUUGAAUGCAAAACAAGUGAACUAAAAAGCAUGCUACUUUUUCUCACUUCAAGUUUGGUAUACAAAAAAGAAUGGUGAAGAUCACAGGAAGAAAAAGAACUGAAAAAUGUAUCAAAUAGUAAACAUUGCACCAGAUCAUCAACACAGAUGUCCACCUACCAAAAGUACAUUUCAACUACAACACUUUCUCUUCCAAAGUCCAAAUACCACUCUCGUAUAAACAUUCAACUACAGCUAUUUAAACCCAGUACUUCUCUUUCUUUAAACUUCUGAACAUCUGCUAUACCAGAAAACCUAAACUUCUAUUAUUGCAGAUAACUACACAACUCAUAAAAAUAUAAGCAUCAAAGUCAUUUGUUAUUGGUCAUAUAAAUUAUACUACCAUUAGAAAAAUAUACACAACUUUCUUAAAUUUAUGGUUACUUUCAACCAAAAAAAAUACAUUUUCUUAUUAGACAAAGUCGUUUUGAGUAAAUGCAAGUGUAUGGAUUCCCACAGCAGGAGGUAGCUAGCUUAUAAAGGAAAAUUUUAGUCCACGUAAGAAAAGAAAUCUAAUACAGCACAAAAAAUUGAAAAAACUGACAAUGGGUAUUGUUCAUAAAAUCCCAAUUUAAAAUGGUAAUCUUAUAGUCUCUUUCUUUAUUCUUUUUUACUUUGUUUGCUCAUUCACAAUAUACCAAAACCAACUCACCCAUCAAAAACUUCUCGCCCAAUUUAAAUUUUGAACUUCAAAGAUUACCUUCAAGUAUCAAGUAAAGCUAAUGAUGGUAAUGAUUAUCAUCAUAAUUAACAAAAGCCCAUGCUGUAUUAAACGCUUUUCAACUAUCAUAUAAUAACCACGUCAUAAAAACCCAUAUAUUACAAAACUAAAUCACAAACCCAAAUCAGAACUUCAAUUUCUAAACAAAACAGUCUGUAAAAUUGCAACAACAAAAAAAAUCAAAAAAUUACAGAAUGGAGAGAAAAGAAAGAGAUAGAGAGAUUUCUAG
rnacentral:lncRNA from 1 species